CUUCUCUCACUCUGGUGAUUGAUGGAAACCCAGUACCAUCAUCAAUAAAGCUUUGAAUCUGAUGGAACGGUAUGGACCCUGCCUAUAAAGAACCCUAGCAUUACAAGAGAAUUUCUCCAACAAUUUGGUUUCAGAAAGGAGGGAUAGGCAGGACUCGGGCUGAGCCAACAGCCCGCAGUAAGCACCAAGAAUCGUCCCGUGGAGGAAUCAAAGGACCAGCAUCUGAAUCAGGUGUGUGAAGGAGGCCUGGUCUGAACCUGCGAUUGGAGCCUGUCAGCGCCCUCCAGCCCGGAGACUGGGCCCUCAUCAAAGAGUUUUGGAGGAAGAACUGUCUUUCCCUGAAAAGGACCUGUCCUUUCCAGAUUUGGCUGGUGACCCAAACGGCAGUCAAGUGUGAGGGAAGGAGUACCUGGAUCCAUGCAUCCCAUUGCUAGAAGGUGGCCCCGAGGGAGCCUCCAGAGGACAGCAACCCAGACCCAGAAGAAGGACCAGCAAUGUGACAGGCCGGGCUAACCGCCAUCAGCAGCAGCCACCCAAGGAAGGUCCCAAUUUUAGUUUCUGGUCAAGCCACAUGGUGACGGAGUAUCUAUCUGCUGCCCUGUCCUUUAUGUUUCUGGUGGCUGAGGAAGAGAACAUAACAUAAGAACAGCCCUGCUGGAUCAGGCACAAGGCCGAUCUAGCCCAGCAUCCUAUUUCACACAGUGGCCCACCAGAUGCCUCUGGGGAGCCCUUAUGCAAGAGAUGAGGACAUGCCCCCCUCCUGCUGUUGCUCCCCUCCAACUGGUAUUUGGAGGCAUCUUGCCUCAGAGGCUGGAGAUGGCCCACAACCACCAGACUAGUAGCCAUUGACAGACUUGUCCUCCAUGAAUCUGUCUAAGCCAAAAGACGGCCUAACAUGAGGAGAAUGGCUUAUCAUGGUCCUGGGGUUGUUAUUGCUGGUUUUGUGGGCCUGGCUUGGUUUGUAAGGCCUUCAUCUGCUGGAUGGGAGACCAACCUGUGGAUAGCUGCUGUGAACGUGACCACUGUUUCCGCUAACCUUGCCAACUGCUGGGUUUGCAGUCAUGUCCCUGGACAUGUGGUACAAAAGCCUAUCCCCCUGGAGGUGGUUACUCAAGAGAGUCCAUGGCUGUAAGCAAACUCUAGUACUCUACUGCAAACUAAAACAAGACUGACUGCCAGACUACCACCCGAUAGCCACAGCUGUCAGGGUGCAAGGCAGACCCUUCUUUUGCAUUACAAAUGACAGAGUGGGGUGGGGCAGUAUCUGAAUGUGGCCACCCUCCAGCCUAAUGGGAAUAUUGCCCUGAAAGGGGCUAAAGCAGGCCUGCUCAACUUCAGCCCUCCUGCAGACGCUGGCCUACAAUUCCCAUAAUCCCUGACUAUUGGCCACUGUGGCUGGGGAUUAUGGGAGCUGUAGUCCAAAAACAGCUGGGGGGUCUAAGUUGAGCAGGCCUGGGCUAAAGUUACCAACACUACCUAUUGUACCAAUUAUUUAUUUGUUUGUUUACCUAUCAAGCUUCUAUACUGCCCAAACUUUCAUCUCUGGGUGUUUAGGGUUUAGGGAAUGGAAGCCUGGCAGGUGGGCACCACUGCCGGUUGUGUGUGGGCACUGGAUAAUGGGGAGAUCAGUGUCAAUGAAUCUCCCCUUUCCUUGGUACAGUGGCGACUGCUUAUGCAUGUUCCUGAAUGGGAGAGGGAGUGUGAGGAUGGGCAGGAUCCUACUGGGAGGUACUGGGCAAGGGCUGACCUCAAGGGAUGGUAUUGGAUUUGCAGGGAUGUCGCCAUGAAAUCCUUGCCAGGAAACUUCAAGGGAACCUGCAUGGUUGGAGUGUGGGUGCCCCCAGUCAUGGCGCAUCCCUCUCUGGAAGGCACUGAACACCUGAGUCAAGAAGAGGGCAGGUACCCCUCUGGCCAUAAGGAAUUCCAUUAAGCCGUGAGGGCUAUUUUUCCAUGGUUGGGAGGAUCUGAGCUGGAGUGCGACCUGGUGAAUGUUUCAGCAGGUUUGCAAGCUGCCUUCCCAGCUGCAGCCAGCACCCUGCAGGACCUCCAGAUGGAGGUGGAGCAAAUUGGGGCUAUGGCUUUGGAUAACCGGCUGGCCCUUGAUAUAGUACUGGCUGAACAGGGUAGAGUAUGUGAACGAUCAUGGUGAUGUAGAGAGGAAUCUAGCGAUCAUUUAAAAAUCUUUCCAGUCUGACAGCCUGGUCCAUGGCUACUUGGUGGAAACUCUGUAUCUCAUGCCAGGUCAUGCAUAUGUUAUGCCAGGCCACGCAGAGGCCCAUUGCGCAGGCACGGUGGCCUCCAAAAUGGCCACCAAAACCGGGCCAGUUUUGGAUGGAUGGGAGGCCGGCAGUGGGAGUGGGAACCUCCACAGACACACACACACCCCGCUGCCUUGGAGAACCACUCCCAGAGGGGGUAAGUUUAAUUUUCCCCCCAAACAAAAACCUCGCAAAUCCCCAAACAGGCUGGGGUGUGUGUGUCGGUGCAGGGUCAGACUGAACAGGGGGUGGUUCGGUUUGACCCCGAACCAUUGAACCUGUUUGAACAUCCCUAGCCUAGAGCACUUUUUAUCGGCUUCAGCUAAAUAAAUUUUGAUAAAUCAAACAAAUAAAUAAUAUGUCAGCUACACCCAUUUCUAGAGGUAAAUGACUUUAAAACAGUGGUGCAUAUUCUGGCAACCUCCAGGCUUGACUACUGUAAUGCACUCUAAGUGAGGCUGCCUUUGUAUGUAGUACAGAAACUAUAACUGGUACAGAAUGCAGCAGCCAGACUGGUUUCUGGGACAAUUUGAAGAGACCACACUAUACCCAUCUGAAAAAAACUGCAUUAGCUGCUGAUAUAUUUCCGAGUGAAAUAGAAAUUGCUGGCAAUUACCUAUAAAGUAGGGAUGUACAUGGAACUGGCUGGCUUGAUUCAGUUCGAGUACGGACCGGACUCAAACCCGACCGGGCCAGUUUGGUCUGGCACCUCCUCAACACCACCACCCCAGACUCUGUUCGGUCCACGGGUGGGGGGUUCGCGGACCAUUUUAGUUAGAUUAUUUUACCUUAUUCCCCCUUGGAGGAGUUCCUGGAGGCCUUCCGCAUGCCCCCCUCAGCUGGUUCAGCCUUACCCGGUGGCCCGGCAGUCACUUGGCACCGGCAGAGGCCAAGUGUGCAGGCGUGCGGGCUCCAUAAUGGCCGCCAGGCCGCUGGGUGAAGGCUGAAAACUGGCCAAACCGGCUGAGGGGGGCAUGAGGAAGGUGUGGGAGGAGGAGGAACCUAUGUGUACCCCCACCCCCGCCACCUCCAGGAACUCCCGAGUGGGAAUAAGGUUAUAUUAAAAAAUUAUUAUUAAAAAACUAAAAUGGUCCGCAACCCCCCUGAACAUUCGGGGGUGUUUGGUCUGAGUUAGACAUCAAACCUGUUUGCAAAACCCCUACUAUAAAGCCCUGAAUGGCUUGGGUCCAGGAUACUUAAAAGAGCACCUUCUUUGUCGUGAACCAUGUCACUUGUUGAGAUCAUCUGGAGAGGUCUGUUUAUGGUUGCCAGCAGCUCGUUUGGUGACGACUCAGGACUGGGCCAUCUCUGUGGCUGCUCCGGGGCUUUGGAAUAUGUUCCCUGUCAAAAUAAGGGCAUCUCCAUCUCUGCUUUUAGGAAGACCUUCAAGACAUACCUGUUCUCCUAGGCUUUUAACUGAAAUUAAUUUUAAAUUGUUUGUUUUUAUUCCAUGAAAUUGUUAACUUUUUUCAUUCUGUAAAAUUGUUUUUUUACCGUU